UUGAUCCUGGCUCAGAAUCAACGCUGGCGGCGUGCCUCAGACAUGCAAGUCGAACGCGAAAGGUCCUUCGGGACUGAUUAGAGUGGCGCACGGGUGAGUUACACGUAGGUAAUUUACCUUUGGGUGGGGAAUAACAAUCGGAAACGAUUUCUAAUACCGCAUAAUGCAGCGGCUCGACAUCGAGACAGUUGUUAAAGCGUGGGAUUCGCAAGAACCUCGCGCCUGAAGAGAAGCCUGCGGCAGAUUAGCUUGUUGGUAGGGUAAUGGCCUACCAAGGCGACGAUCUGUAGCCGGCCUGAUAGGGCGGUCGGCCACACUGACACUGAAUAACGGGUCAGACUCCUACGGGUGGCAGCAGUCGGGAAUUUUGGGCAAUGGGCGAAAGCCUGACCCAGCAACUCCGCGUGAAGGAUGAAAUUUUUCGGAAUGUAAACUUCGCAAGAAUAGGAUGAAUAAGUUCAGGCUAAUAUCCUGAAUGAUGACGGUACUAUUUGUAAGCUCCGGCUAACUCCGUGCCAGCAGCCGCGGUAAUAAGGU
rnacentral:rRNA from 1 species